rnacentral:rRNA from 1 species
CAUUAUUGAAAUAAACCUGAUGAGUUGCUGCUGGUUCUCCAGGGAGCAUGUGCACACUUGUCAUCUUUAUAUCUCCACCUGUGCACCUUUUGUAGACCUGGAUAUCUCUCUGAACGCUAGUCGUUCAGGACUGAGGAUUGAUAUCAUGUCUCUCCUUAUAUUUCCAGGCCUAUGUUUCUUCAUAUACCCAAUGUAUGUCAUAGAAUGUAAUCAAUGGCCUUGGUGCCUAUAAACCUAUACAACUUUCAGCAACGGAUCUCUUGGCUCUCGCAUCGAUGAAGAACGCAGCGAAAUGCGAUAAGUAAUGUGAAUUGCAGAAUUCAGUGAAUCAUCGAAUCUUUGAACGCACCUUGCGCUCCUUGGUAUUCCGAGGAGCAUGCCUGUUUGAGUGUCAUUAAUAUAUCAACCUCUUCAGCUUUUGCUUGUUGAGUGUUGGAAGUGGGGGUCUUUUUUGCUGGUCUUCCCAGGUCAGCUCCCCUGAAAUGCAUUAGCGGAACAAUUUGUGAAACGUUCAUUGGUGUGAUAACUAUCUACGCUAUUGACGUGAAGCAGUUCAGCUUCUAACAGUCCAUUCACUUGGACAAAUUUUCAUUAAUGUGACCUCAAAUC